ACGGAAGGCAGCAGUGGGGAAUAUUGCACAAUGGGCGAAAGCCUGAUGCAGCGACGCCGCGUGAGUGAAGAAGUAUUUCGGUAUGUAAAGCUCUAUCAGCAGGGAAGAAAAAUGACGGUACCUGACUAAGAAGCACCGGCUAAAUACGUGCCAGCAGCCGCGGUAAUACGUAUGGUGCAAGCGUUAUCCGGAUUUACUGGGUGUAAAGGGAGCGCAGGCGGUACGGCAAGUCUGAUGUGAAAGCCCGGGGCUCAACCCCGGUACUGCAUUGGAAACUGUCGAACUAGAGUGUAGGAGGGGUAAGCGGAAUUCCUAGUGUAGCGGUGAAAUGCGUAGAUAUUAGGAGGAACACCAGUGGCGAAGGCGGCUUACUGGACGAUAACUGACGCUGAGGCUCGAAAGCGUGGGGAGCAAACAGGAUUAGAUACCCUGGUA
rnacentral:rRNA from 1 species